GAUGAACGCUAGCGGCAGGCCUAAUACAUGCAAGUCGAACGGUGUAGCAAUACACAGUGGCGCACGGGUGCGUAACACGUAUGCAACCUACCUAUUAUUGGGGGAUAGCCUUUGGAAACGGAGAUUAAUACCGCAUAAGACAGUAACAUGGCAUCAUGUAGCUGUUAAAGCUUCGGCGAUGAUAGAUGGGCAUGCGUCCAAUUAGUUAGUUGGUGAGGUAAUGGCUCACCAAGACGAUGAUUGGUAGGGGAUCUGAGAGGAUAAUCCCCCACACUGGCACUGAGAUACGGGCCAGACUCCUACGGGAGGCAGCAGUAGGGAAUAUUGGGCAAUGGACGGAAGUCUGACCCAGCCAUGCCGCGUGCAGGAUGACGGCGUUAUGCGUUGUAAACUGCUUUUUUAUAGGAAGAAGGAGACCUUGCGAGGUUUGGUGACGGUACUAUAAGAAUAAGCACCGGCUAACUCCGUGCCAGCAGCCGCGGUAAUAC
rnacentral:rRNA from 1 species